UUAAUCAAAUACAUUAAAAAUAAAUCAUACGAAAAUCACACACCCAGAAAAAAAUCAAAACACUGAUUUCUUUAUCUCUCUGAAGACAAAAACUUCAAUUGAAAUUCUGUAAGAUGAAUAUUGUUAUUCUUUUAAGGCACUCUGGUCAAUGGAGAACCAAAACAGAAUAUGUAAAUUAUAAAAAUAAAGGGAUCGUUAUUCUGAAUCGAUAAGUUACUUGAGGUUGAUUUCCUCAACCACUGACGAAUUAAACAUUGAUGAAGUGCAAAAAAAUAUUGAUGUACAUUAUGUAGUAGACGGGAAUGAAUCACCUUUUCAUAUCCGUAAUGACAAUGGAGUUCGGUUGUAUAUCGAGUUAAAAAAAGCUCAACUAGCCUUUAUUAUGUACUCGUUGUGCAUAUCAACGAUUGAUAAAUCUUCAGAUGACAUACAGUUUGAUAGAAAUACAGGAGUUGUUGUUUGCAUAGAAGGUGUUGAAUCAGAUGCUAUGGAUCUCGCUGUUAUAGAGAUGCAUAAUCAAUAUGCGUUGUAUGUUCCUGAGUUCUAGGUUAAUAAUUUGAUCUGUGAUAGCAAGAGUAUUGAUGUGAAGGUGAAAUAGAUGUAUAAGGAUAAAAAGACACUAGUUUUAGUGAUGGAGAAAUUUAUUGUGACACAUGAAUUCAAUUGCAGAGCUAAACUUUCGGACAAAAAAAGUUAUGUCCUCCAAUGUUACAUCGAGGAUUGUAAGUGGACGCUGGAAGCAUCUAGCUACAAAAAAAUAGAUGUUUUUAUCAUCAGGAGAUUUAACCCAGAACAUUCGUACAGUUGCGUGAUAUGGUACUGAAGAAUAUUUUGGCAACUACCACUUUUGUGUGUGAAUUCACGGCUCCUAAUUUAGUUAACCAUAAGAUAAAGCACACCCCGUCCGACAUAAUGAAAGAAAUAAAAGUUGUAUAUGGGGUUGAUGUAAACUAUAUGAAGGCAUGGCGUGCAAAGGAGUGGUGUCAUAGCGAUGCUUAGGGGUGGUCGACUGAUGGUUAUAGGCAGAUGCCAAGAUACGUGUAUAUAUUGAAUAAUGUGUAUCCCAAUUCACACAUUGCAAUGCAUAAGUCAUGGGAUAAUCGGUUCAUGUAACUUUUUAUAACGUUGCAUCCAAUGAUAAGGGGUUUUGAUUGGAGACCCAUUGUAGUUGUUGAUGGUGCGCAUUUAAGUGGACCAUAUCAACGGACUUUCCUCUCAGCAAGAACACUGGAUGGUGCAGGAUGUAUAUUACCGCUUGCGUACGGGGUUGCGGAUAUGGAGAAUGACAGCUCAUGGUCAUGGUUUUUCAACCAGUUCAAAGCUGCUUUUGGAGAACGAGAUAAUAUAUGUGUUAUCUCUGAUAGGAAUGAAAGCAUUAUCAAAGCAAUUAGUAUUGUAUAUCGAAAUAUCCCACACCUUUCAUGCAUUUGACAUCUCUGAGAAAAUAUUUGUGGUUACUUUCGGAAGAGCAAAGAAAGUAUUAGUGAUUUGCAUUAUUUAAUAUCUAAGGCUUAUAGAAAAGAUAAUUUUGACUACCUAAUGGGAAAGAUUGAAAAAGUUGAUCCCAGAGUGAAAAAAUAUCUACAAGAAACUAGAUAUAAAAAGUGGAGUAGGCGCCAUUCAGCAAUAAAAAAUGGUCGGAUAAUGACUUCAAAUAUUGCUGAGUAUAUAAAUGGGUGUUUGGUGGAGGACCGGGAAUUGCCAAUAUAUGGAUUCUUAGAAAAGGUGUAAAAGUUAUUUGGAUCUUGGAACUGUAAAAACAGUGAGAUUGUGUAAUACCCCGAAAUUCCCAACCGAUAG